UCGAUCCAGAGCUCUCCUCCACAAGUAUUGACAUAAGCCCCGACGUUGCCAGGAACCACCUGCAACCUAGCGCUACCCCUGAGGGACUCCUUCCUCACGAUGUUCCUGCCAGCGGCCUGAGAUUGGCCCUACAACGACCGCCUGUGCUUGGGCGCGGCGAGCGUCUCGAAGCCACGACAUCGGACAAGGAGACCGACUGGAGAGAGGCGGCUGCAGGCAGCAGGAUUUGCAGGUUAAGAAUUCACAUGACAUGGUGGCCACAUCGUGGAAUCUGAGAUGGCAAUCGUCCGUUGAGGCACAGCGGCGCCAGUCCGCCCGCGUCUAGCACUUGCGUGGUUACCUCGCCCAACGCCAAGCAUAGCAGCAACUUGAAGCAGCUCAAUUGUUGAAUGAAAUCGUCGAAGGGGCUGGGUGGUGUUUUCGAUUCUUGGGCUGGAGAAGAUGUGCAGGUAUGGCUGGCGUGUAAAGGGAGCCCAGAGUGGGAGGCGGCCCAGGACUAGCUGCUGCCAAUGAGAAGAAGAAGACCAAGCUUACGCAGCAUUGCGUUAACUCCAACCUCAGAGCUGGAAGUCUGGAACAAGACGUACAGGAUGCCAUGGACGAGGGAACAAGGUACCACCAGUAGCAGCCUAGAAUAGAUACUUGAAUACGCGAGAAAACAUGUAUCCUAAUUCCUAACGAAUAGUACAAAC